rfam:Gossypium raimondii Chr01_contig_988, whole genome shotgun sequence.
AUCCCAUGAUGAAGACACUUACGAAGUAACUCCUUAAAUCGCUCCCAAACCUCAUACAAAGACUCGUCAUUAAUUGUUGGAAAGUUGUGAUCUUAUUCCUUAACUU